AAUUGAUACAUCUUUGGGAGCCUAAAAUGGUGGAAUUUUUUUUUUUGGUUAAAGUGGAUUGUAAGUUUACUCCAUUUUUUGGAGUAUAGUAUAACUAUACUCCAAAAAUUACGUUAUUUUUUUUUUCUUCCAAACGCUUCAUAGGAUUAUUUUCCUACUAGCGUAGCAUAGUUUAACUAUGCUACGUUUUUAGAGAUAUCCAAACGGGGCCUUAGGGUGCAUUUGAUUCGCGCUAUUUUUUAAAGAUUUCUAAUAAUCCAAUAGAAAUAAAAAAAUAUGACGGUGUUUGGCUAAACGCAGUAAGUAGUCUAGUUGGUAAUAUUGGAUUCACUUGAAAUAAGAUUCAUCCCAAAGUACUAAUCUCAUUCCUUGAGGAAUGGUGGGUAUCUUCAUAUUAAUAGAUUAGAAUAAUCAAUCAUAAUAUGUCUACUCUCUUUCUUUCUCCCUACCCGCCGGCUAAUUGAUAUCAUUUUUCUUUACACUCUAACCUCGUAUCUUUUUCUAAACUUAUCUUUCUCUCUAAAAUUCAACUUUUUUUUUCUCUCUCUAAACUAAGCUUUCUCUCUCUCUCUUUCUAGAAUCUCAACUCUCUUACUUUCUCUAAUUUCGACACUAUUUCUCUUUCUAUUUUUUUAAUUAUGCUCCCUCUUCCUUUUUUUCUAAAAAGAUGUUGAAACUUUUGGUAGCAUUAUCUAAAAUUAAUUAAAAAAAAUAAAUAAAUAGUAUAUUUUUUGUAAUAUUAAAUAACAUGGCUAAAUAAUAUUACCGUGCGAACCAAACACAGGAAUUUCACAUUCUUAGUAAUAGAAUGAAUAGGAAUAAGAUUCUCGGACAUCUUUUCAUUCCUAGUAAUAUUUCAUAAUGCGAACCACCCUUAAGGCAUUAAAAGAAAAGGGUAAUGUUCUAUACUAUAUAAGAUAGAGUGUAAUAUAUAAGAUAGAGUGGUGUAAUAUAUAAGAUAGAGUGGAAUUGGGUGAUCAAGUGGUUAUUCUAAAAGUAAAAGGGUGAAUUGUGGGAAUA
rnacentral:lncRNA from 1 species